rnacentral:rRNA from 1 species
GACGAACGCUGGCGGUGUGCUUAACGCAUGCAAGUCGAACGGUAAGGCCCUUUCGGGGGUACACGAGUGGCGAACGGGUGAGUAACACGUGAGUAACCUGCCCUCAUCUCUGGGAUAACAGUCGGAAACGGUUGCUAAUACUGGAUAUGAGCUUGCAAGGCAUCUUGUGGGUUGGAAAGAUUUUUUUUGGUUGGGGAUGGACUCGCGGCCUAUCAGCUUGUUGGUGAGGUAGUGGCUCACCAAGGCUUCGACGGGUAGCCGGCCUGAGAGGGCGACCGGCCACAUUGGGACUGGGAUACGGCCCAAACUCCUACGGGAGGCAGCAAUGGGGAAUAUUGCACAAUGGACGGAAGUCUGAUGCAGCAACGCCGCGUGCGGGAUGACGGCCUUCGGGUUGUAAACCGCUUUCAAUUGUGACGAAGCUUUUUUGUGACGGUAGCAGUAGAAGAAGCACCGGCUAACUACGUG